GAGGUUUUGACUCGGUGGUAGAGUGCUUGCCUAGCAUGUAUGAGACACUGGGUUCGAUUCUCAGAACCACA
rnacentral:tRNA from 1 species